rnacentral:rRNA from 1 species
AGUGAACGCUGGCGGUAGGCCUAACACAUGCAAGUCGAACGGCAGCACAGUAAGAGCUUGCUCUUACGGGUGGCGAGUGGCGGACGGGUGGGGAAUACAUCGGAAUCUACUUUUUCGUGGGGGAUAACGUAGGGAAACUUACGCUAAUACCGCAUACGACCUACGGGUGAAAGCAUGGGAUCUUCGGACCUUGCGCGAUUGAAUGAGCCGAUGUCGGAUUAGCUAGUUGGCGGGGUAAAGGCCCACCAAGGCGACGAUCCGUAGCUGGUCUGAGAGGAUGAUCAGCCACACUGGAACUGAGACACGGUCCAGACUCCUACGGGAGGCAGCAGUGGGGAAUAUUGGACAAUGGGCGCAAGCCUGAUCCAGCCAUACCGCGUGGGUGAAGAAGGCCUUCGGGUUGUAAAGCCCUUUUGUUGGGAAAGAAAAGCAGCAGGUUAAUACCCCGCUGUUCUGACGGUACCCAAAGAAUAAGCACCGGCUAACUUCGUG